UACGAAGGGGGUUAGCGUUGCUCGGAAUCACUGGGCGUAAAGGGUGCGUAGGCGGGUCUUUAAGUCAGGGGUGAAAUCCUGGAGUUCAACUCCAGAACUGCCUUUGAUACUGAAGAUCUUGAGUUCGGGAGAGGUGAGUGGAACUGCGAGUGUAGAGGUGAAAUUCGUAGAUAUUCGCAAGAACACCAGUGGCGAAGGCGGCUCACUGGCCCGAUACUGACGCUGAUGCACGAAAGCGUGGGGAGCAAACAGG
rnacentral:rRNA from 1 species